rnacentral:rRNA from 1 species
CCUACGGGAGGCAGCAGUGGGGAAUAUUGCACAAUGGGGGAAACCCUGAUGCAGCGACGCCGCGUGAGUGAAGAAGUAUCUCGGUACGUAAAGCUCUAUCAGCAGGGAAGAAAAUGACGGUACCUGACUAAGAAGCCCCGGCUAACUACGUGCCAGCAGCCGCGGUAAUACGUAGGGGGCAAGCGUGAGCCGGAUUUACUGGGUGUAAAGGGAGCGUAGACGGCAGCACAAGUCUGGAGUGAAAUCCCGGGGCUUAACCCCGGAACUGCUUUGGAAACUGUGCGGCUGGAGUGCAGGAGGGGUAAGCGGAAUUCCUAGUGUAGCGGUGAAAGGCGGAGAUAUCACGAAGAACCCCGAUUGCGAAGGCAGCUUACUAAACUGUGACUGACAUUGAUGCUCGAAAGUGUGGGUAUCAAACAGGAUUAGAUACCCCAGUAGUC